UGAAAAGGCAGGCCGUAGGGAGAACGGUAUUGGAGGAGUGAGUCUGGAGAGCUGGUGAUCAGUGCUGUUCACACAAUGCCGGAACAGUGGGAAGAAUUGAGGGCUUGGAAUACACAAUUAGAUUUAUACUUGAGUUCCUACAGAUUGUGUGAAGAGGGCGAAUAAGUUGAAAUAGCGAGGCUUCUGCAAUUGCUCAGGCGAGGGAGGAGGGCAUCGGCCGAGAGACUGGCAACGGCGGAAAUAAAGCGGUGAAUAUGCGAGGCACUGAAGGGUAGACUAUCCAUCCAGCACAGGAAGAAGGUACGGAGCCAGGGGGCUGCGGAUCAUAGGAGACUGAGAAAGAGCUGGGUUAUGAGGAAGUUAUACAUUGAAACGUGCCCGUCUUACGGCGAGGUGCUUUUGACAUUGCUUGGUGGGGCUAGCCAUUAGUUUAGAGCCUGUUUAAAUUAAAUGUCUGUCCUGGGCUGGAAGCUAGAUUUGAAAGUCGUUAAGAUGUGGUGGUAUAAGGCAAUAUAGUGUGGGGAGAAUGCUUUCAUUCUCAAGCACAGAGGGUUAGUAUGUUUACCUUACACCCACUCCUUUGUUCUUAUGUAAACAUGUACAUGUCUUAGGUUUCUAUUGCCAAAUGCACCUUGGGAAGGAAGGGGUUUAUUUUAUCCUACAGCUGGCAGUACAUCAUCCAGGGAAGUAAAGGUUUGUGAGGAACUGAAGCGGAGACCAUGGAGGGGUGCUGCUUACUGGCUUGCUCCCCAUGGCUUGCCCAGCCUGCUUUCUUUUACAACCAAGGACCAAGGGUCCAGGAGUGGCACCACCCACAAUGGGCUUGGGCCCUCCCACACAAUCGCUAAUGAAGAAAAUGCCUCGUAGGCUUAUCAACCAGGUUAAUCUGGUUGAAGGCAUUUUCUCAGUUGAGGUUCUUUCUUUUCAGAUAACUCCAGCGUGUGCCAAAUUGACAACUAAUCAGGACUGUAUAAUAAAUAUAAUAUAAUAAACAUAAUAUAGUAGCAAAAUAGUUUUUAGUUUAUAAUAGCAAAAGGUUAAAAACAGCAAAAAAUAUUUACUUAAGGGGUUAAUUAAAUAAAUUAUAAUGGGGCUGGAGAGAUGGCUCAGUAGUUAAGAGCAUUGACUGUUCUUCCAGAGGUCCUGAGUUCAAAUCCCAGCAACCGCAUGGUGGCUCACAACCAUCUGUAAUGAGAGCUGAUGCCAUCUUCUGGUGUGUCUGAAGACACCUACGGUGUACUCAUAUAAAUAAAUCAAUAAAUCUUAGAAAAAUGAGAAAAUAAAUUAUAGUGUAGCUAUAUAAUAGAACUUGAUAGAGCCAAUAGAAAAAAAGGCAUAAAUCCUUAAAUAUGUAUACAGAAUGAAUGAGUCCUAAGAUAGGAAUUACUGGGGUGUGGUAAAAGCAGAACGUGAAGUUAUGUGUAUAACCGUAUCUCUACUUAUAAAUAAAAAGAACUACUCGUGUUCAAAAGUUCCAGAACAUCAGGACAGACUGGACAAACAUAUACAAAAUUCUGAGCUUAAAAGAAGGGAGCCAGUCUUUCUGACUGAUCUAAAGUCAGGGCCUGUGGAACCCUUUGCCAGACAGCUGUCCUCUCUGACAACGUGGGUGGUCGGAAUGGAACAGGAAAACAGGAACAGUACACAGAGGCGCGCAGGAACAUGAAAUUAAAGGCCACUGAACGCUCCAUCACAGGAGCCCGUAAUGGAGAAAAGUGAGGGGAUUAGAUUAAGAUAACAGGGGCUUCCCGACAGAAGGAAUAGUUAAGGAUUGUGAAUAGUGCACAGAGGAGGGAGGAGAUCCAUGCUCCUUUCUUAUAUUUUCAGUGCAAAAGUGGGGGGGGGGGGGAGCCAGUCCCCGUGGCUCCUCCGCCCUGCCCAGUCUCAGUUCCUACUAUGCUCCCUGGAAGCAUUUCUGCAUGGCCUCUGAUCACCUGAGCUGUAAGAUCUCUAACCCCAGCUGCCUUUUUCUCCUUCCCUCCACUACUGCCUCAGGAGAAACAACCAGCAGAGGCCAGGUGGUAAUUGCGUCACAGUUACCACAUCCUCUAAGACGCGAAGGAGGAAAAGACGCAGGGGUGGACACCGAGAUAGGUGGGAAACCUUGUAAGAGAACUGGGUUUUUGUGCUAACUACUGGGGGAGGUGUAGAUUUGGACAUAGGGCACCAGAUCUGCCAUGGUAGGUCUCGGGCAAUUGGGAAGAAGUGCUUCUCUCUCUGAGGUCUGCUGUAGCUUGAAGGAGGCACAGAAUAGGCUAGGGUGGUUUCCAGACAGGUUAGCAACUGAGGCAGUGCAGAUAAAGAUGCAUAGCCCACAUCUUAUAAGACAGACUCCUAGGACCUACCUACAUCCCUUCUAGCUAUACCCUAGUCUGUUAUGAACAUGUAUCUAAGGUUUUCGGCCUCUCUAAGCUUUGUGUUAAAGGGAUAGAAGCAAAGAGCCUCUAUAUACAUUAGAUCUGCAUACAUUAGUAAGAGUGAUUACAUAGGGGCCCCUAGGGGCAGUAAACCUCAAACAGAGAGAGCCUCAGGUCUCUGUCUCUAACUGCUCCGCUCCACCAGGAGUCCCUUGUUAGGGUCUGUGGUAGUUUGAAUAAAAUGUCCCUCCCUGAGUUCGGUCCCCAGCUCCGAAAAAAAGAAAAAGAAAAAAAAAAUAAAAAAUAAAAUGUCCCCCCUAGUGAUCUCCAGUUGGUAACACUGGGGAGGGCUGGGAGAUAUGGCUUUGUUGAAAGAACUUGUUCACGAAGGAGGGCUUUGAGAGGUUAAAGGAGCCUCAGGCAGUUUCCAACAUGAGCCCUCAGCUUCCUGCUCUUGCUGCCAUAUCUCCAUGACACAAGACUCUAGGGCGGGUAAAUAGCUCAGCUGGUUAAGCAUUCCCAUGAAAGUGCGAUGGUCUGUGUUUGGACUCCGGGCAACCAAUAUAAAAAGCCAGGCCUAGCCCUGAGGAAGCGAAGACAAUAGGGUCCCUGAAGCUCACUGGCUAGCUACUCUUGCUGAAUCAAAGAAUAGAAUACCAGGUUCAUCUUCUGUCCUAAAUACACAUACUCGCAGAGGCCAUGCUGUUACACUGCAGAUCCAACCAACCUUCAUCAAAAAUAUUUUUUGGUGGAUUACACCCUCAGGAGGCAGAGACAGGCAGAUCUCUAUGAGUUCAAAGUCAGCCUGGUUUAUGUAGAGAGUCCUAGGACAGCCAAGGCUAGUAAGACCCUGUGCUGUCUAAUUUUAUGGCAACUUGACACAGGUUAGAACCAUUAUUUGGGAAACCAGAAUCUCAACUGAGAAAAUGACCCGACCAGAUUGAUCUGCAGGCAAGCCUGCGGGCAUUUUCUUAAUUAGCGAUUGAUGUGGGAGGGCCCAGCCCAUCGUGGGGGUGAAGAGGGGUCUUACAAAAAAAGCAGUCUGAGAAGGCAUGGGGAGCAAGCUAGUAAGCAGCAUUCCUCUGUGGCCCUCUGCCCUGUUUGAGUUCCAGCCUUGACUUCCCUCAGUGAUGAACUGGUGUGGCAGUAUACACUCAAUUAAAACUUCCAUUCCCAAGUUGCUUUUAAGCUACAGUGUUUUAUCACAGCCUCAGAAAGCACUUUGUAUUGUAAGGCUUGAAGUGAGUCUUAUCAACCUGGGAGACCCCUCAAGUGAUACACGAGAAUGGAGUUCGAUGCAAAUGGAAGAGGUUUAAUUUCUGGCACGUCAGGGUUGAACUUCAGCCCCUCAUGGCAAGGGACUAGAAGGCGACCCCAAAUGGCUAUAACAAGCAGUUUUUAUACGUUUUAGGGGUACAGGUUACAUCAGCAAGGUUACAGUUUAAGCUUAUUGGCUAAGCAUAUUGACCUUUGAAUCUAUUGGCUAGCAAGCAUAUGACAUGCAUUCGAACUCUAUCUGGGACCAGAGGGUCAGGUGACUAUGUCAGUACAUUCUGCAGAUUUUCAAGAAUGUCCCUGCUCCUCUGGAGAACUGUGGGUGGAGAAUGGAACUUGGUUUAGCCUUGACCCAUUUUGGGAAGCUGGUACUUGGCCUAAUCUUGACCUGAGGCGGUGGGUGUAAAGCUGGCGAAAGACCCUAGGGUCCUUCACAGGAACCCCAUAACCUACCUACUUUCUACCAGGCCAAGCCUCUUAAUAGCUCUUACUCUUCAGUAAGAACUAGGGUCCUUCAGUAUCCCCACCAAAUCAUUCAGAAGCUUUUCUUUUUUGACAGAACAGAGUGUGUACAGAGUUUUUCUUGCCAUUCCCUAAACACAGUACAACAACCACAUCCAUAGCACUGGUUAUUGUAAGUAAUCUAGAGACUACUUAAAGUUUAUAGGCGGAUGUGUCAUGUGUAUGGACUAUAUGCAAAUACUUGUAUGCAAAUCUGAGCUUCUGAGAUACACAUUACAGCUCUCCCUUGCUGCAAGCCCUUCUUGAAGAAGGGUUUCUCCCAGUCCCUAGCAUCUUCCCCACCCAGAGCUGACCACAGAAGUAUUCAUCUGACUGUGUGAAAACACAGGCUUUGCUUUUGGUUAGGAGGGUUAGGGAAACUAGGUUUAUUUUCCAAGAGGCAGGCUGUCAGUCUUAUGCGCAAUGCGGGGCAACAGGAUGAGCCUCAGGUCUGCGGUCAGUCUGGUUGCUCUUUUGUGUCUCUUUUGCCGUGUUCAUUCCUUCGACCUUGUGAUCCAUUCACUUUGCAAACGUGGCUCGAGCGGAGCGAAGUCCUAAUACUGGCUACAAACCAGAAGGCACAGGGUACCUGGGUUCAAGCACGAGGCUCUGAGUUCAAUUUCCACCACUGGGAGAGAAAAAAAAAAUAAUCAAGCCCCUCCCAGUUAUGUUCUUCCAAGAGCCACCCUUCCUCUGCACUAAGUUCCUGUGAUUUUUCUUGGUUGCUCCUACUUUCCUCCACCCACCCCCACGCCCAUCCUUCUUUAAAUAUGCAAAUAUUGCUAGGAAGCUAAGCAGAAGCCACACCACAUCUCCGUUUAGAAACCGUUCUAGAUGUUUAUAAAUGUUCAGGGGGGGAAAUGUAAAUCUCCUCGAUGAAUCUGUGAGUUCAUUUUUGUAAAACUUGCAAGCAUAAACACUGGGGCCAAAGCACUUUGAGUCAACCCGAGCUUCAAAAGGCAGACACUUAACUGUCAGUGCCCAGGAAGGGGCUUUGUUACUGUUUUCUCGAUUUCUGAAAGGAAUCUUACUAUCAACGACCUGGGGGGAAAAUUAGCACAAAGCGAUUCCUUUUAACUCAACGAUGUUUUUUUUUUUUUUUUUUUUUUUUGAUUCUUUUUUUCCGGAGCUGGGGACCGAACCCAGGGCCUUGCGCUUCCUAGGUAAGCGCUCUACCACUGAGCUAAAUCCCCAGCCCCUACUCAACGAUGUUUUGUUUGUUUGUUUGUUUUUGUUUUUGUUUUGUCUUUUCAUAAUGCUACACGAGGUUGUAUGAAACGGCUGUGAGCCACGAAAGGAUAAUCAGAUAUAAAGGCCCACAGCGAAGGGUCUGCAUCAAAGACACGUGUCCCACCUACCUGGCGUUUCUAGAAUGGCUCAAGAAGGAUUAGAAGGCUGCUGUGAGGGAUAUGGAUUUGAACUCAGGACCUCCGGAAGAGCAGUCAGUGCUCGUAACCACUGAGCCAUCUCUCCAGCCGUGAAAGAGAGUUUCUUAUCAAUCAGUCCUGGCACUGGUAAAGGACAUGUAGCCCCAGGGAUAUGCAUGCAAAGAUCAGAUGAGCACACAGGGAGAAGAUGGCCAUCUGUGAGCCAAAGAGAGAGCUCAGAAGACGCCAACCCUGCCCUGCUGACCCCUCAACUCUCAGACUUCCGGUCUUCAAACCAUGAGGAGGUAAGAACCUGUAUUCAAGUCCCCACCUGAGGUAUUUUUGAACUGAGCCUGCGGUUCCGAAAAAGAACGAAAGAGGAAAUCCUGGCCUGACUGAAAAAGGGAAGCAGGCCACAAUCAGAUGAACAGGAGAAGCAGCUGAAGCCCACAGAAGGGGCGAGCAGAAAACGGCUUCGGUAUGUCUGAAAGGGGUGCUUCAGAACAAGGGCUGCAGAUGAAGGGAACCCCCAUCCACACGGCCCUAUCAUCCAUACCGGGGCUGCUGUGGCUCCCUGUGCUAAACUGGGACUCUGACGUCUCCUGCAGCACUCUGAUGUGAGGAGCUCAGCUGGAUGAACGCCCCGCCCCACCGUACUUUUGCACUGUCUGAGGCUUACCCAGAGUCUACGGUGCUCCCAGCUGUUUCUUUCUAGUCAAUUAUUAAGCGCAGCUGGGUACUCGAGAAAUACUAUUUUCGGUGUGACCAGGAAUUUCUCCAGGACAAAGUUCCUCUUCCGGGACACCCCCACCCUGAACCAGCCUAAGACUUUCUCAACCUGCUUCUCCAGUCAGCCCUCUUUCCCUACCCAAUCUCUCUAGGUGUCUUAUCUACACUGUUACCUGAAGCCUCUCUUUGCUCAGCCCUGUGCGGGCCUCAUAGGGGCACACCCGGGGAAACACCCAGAGGGCUAAUUUUUUUUUUUUUUUACUCGCUGCUCCUUCUGACUGAUCGGGCUGCCCUAGUCUCCUUUCUUAAUCCCUUCUCCACACCAUCCACAGUUCGUCUAAAAUCCAAAUUUUAUCUUGUUAUAUUCUGCUUUCAAGUUAUCUGGACAUUUACAAGAUACAAUUAAAACAAACCCAUAAGCCUGUGCUCAGCUGUCUGCUCUCCCGUCUCUGAUUCCUACCCACUUCUGUUAGUCAUAUGGGAUGUUCUGUACUCUUAUAAACCCAAGUGCUACUUUAUAUCAGGGCUUUUGGCUGAAGAUCUCUUCAUGGAACAUCCUUCCCCAUUCUCUGAUCCUUCCAUGAGUGUGCAUGCACACACACACACACGUGUGUGUACACACACACACACACACACUUCAUCCUUGAGCACACCACAGCCUCCUAACAAAACAGCAGGGACUAGGAGCCAGAACCACAUUUUCCCCUCAUAGUUCCGGAAGCUGGAGGGCGGAGAUAGAGGUGUUUCCUUUGGAGUCCUUGCUUUUUGCGUUGUAAUAGGUUGUCUUGUUCACCUGCCCUUUCCUCUGUCCCUGUAUCCCUGAAGUCUUCCAAUCUACUCUUCUUAAAAAGUCACAUCAUAUUAGAUUAGGACCAACUCUAAAGACCUGUCUUAAGUGCCCUUAAGAGACCCUAUAUACAUUUAUAUUCACAUUCUAAGGUGUAAGCAGACACGCCCACCCAAAGGACACGCCCACCCAAACAAAAUCAUUUCCCAUUGUUCUAUUUUGUACUCAACACUGACACCUAACACAUCCCCCCCCCCCCAAACUUCCCAGCUCUUUUUUCUCUAAGGGAAACCUUUAGAGAUAAAAUCAUUUCUGUAUUCUUAACUUUAGUACAGUUCACAUACAUAGUAGAUGCUCAAACUCUGUGGGAUGGGACAUGUACCUACAUGUGUUAUUUAGUGCACACACGUGUCAGUAAAACAUAACAUUAAAGUUUCUAGCUUAUAUUCCAAUAAUUUCUUAGCCCUUUGUGCCCUGCCAAGCUUCUCUUGUAGCACUUCACCUCAUGCCCAGCUUCCUUUUUUCUGUGAUUCUUCAACCUGUUGAUGGAGAAAGACACAUUGGACUCUUAUAGGUGUUUGAAGAAGCCUGGCCUUGAGCCUCACAUCAACGCCCCAGUGGUCUGAAGGGAACAAAGUUCCCCUUUCUAAAGAAGGGAUCCUUAAGGUACCAAAAAAAAAAAAAAAGGGUCUCCCAAGAAAAGGUUCUAUGAGCGCUCUUUUUUUGGUGUUAAGUUAGUCCAAGUUUAUUCCCAUUAUUAACAAUUAGAAGACUUUAAUGAGCUAACUUGAAAGAUGAUUAUUAGCAAUGAACUGAUUUGACUGCGAGAGCAAGCUUGGGUUGAAGGUCACUGUUGGCCAGGACACUGGAGAGCACAGUGAAUUUGAAAAGCAGGGCAGGGAUGGAGUGCUGGGUCAAAAGGCCUCUUAGGUGCCUCUCCAUGAGGUCAUAGAUACCUCUUCUGGUCAAUGGUUCUAGCCAUUCACCUCCAUCUUCUCACCCAACAUUAAAAGCAGAGGGAAGAACAAAAGGCGAGGGCUGGAGAGAUGGCUCAGUGGUUAGGAGCACUGACUGCUCUUCCAGAGGUCCUGAGUUCAAAUCCCAACAACCACAUGGUGGCUCACAACCAUCUGUGAUGGGAUCUGAUGCCCUCUUCUGGUGGGUCUGAAGACAGCUACAGUGUACUUAUAUAUAAAUAAGUAAAUCUUUAUCUGAAGGGGAAAAGGUGUCAUUCAGUUCCCUAAACAAAUGCAUGGGGCAAUAAGCGAUGGAUAAAGCGGAUACACGUGGCAGUGAGAGACCUGGGAUGGGAGGAUGAGUGAGACAAGGAGACAGGAACAAAGAGAUGAAAGACUGCAUCUCUACAAAACCAGCAGUGCUCCAGAUGGGCUGGGAUGGAGGAAACCCUGGAAGAGCAGGGUAAGCUGAGGUCACUGAAUCUGGCUCACAGCUCUCUAUAUAUGAUUAAGUCACUUCUACUUCAGUUGAAUCAUGGCCCCCAAAGAUGGCUACAUCCUAAUCCCCAGAAAGUAUAAGUGCUAUAUUCAAGGGUAAGAAAGACUUUGCAGAUGUAACUAAACCAAAGAUCUUGAGAUGGGGAGAUUAUCCUGGGUUACCCACACAAGAGUCAUGUAGUCAUGGGAGUGCUGGAAGAGGCAAACAUGGCAGCCAGGUGAGGCUCAAAUAGCAGGAAGCACCCAGGGAUGAAAGAUGCUUCUUAAACAUGGGGAAACAGAAUGGAAGACUGUUAAAUCAGUGUUCCCGUGGAAAUGAAAUUAUUUGAUAUGUCCAAUAAAUGUCCACUAUUAUAGCUAUUCCCACCCCACCCCCCUUUAAACCUGGAGAUGGAACUCAGGGUAUGGUAUGCGCUAGGCAAGAACUCUACUAGUGAGCUACGUCUCCAGCCCUAUUCUUGGAUCUCCAAAAGUUGAUUCUCCAGUGUGGUGACUACAAGCCACAGAUGACUAUUAGAUACUUGAAAUGUGGCUUUUCUGAUGGAAGGUGUGUUAUUAAUGUAAAAUAAAGUUUUAAAAGCUUAUUAUAAUGGUUAAUCUUAGUUAUCAACCUGACAUAUUUCCAGAUGUGUCUGUGAGAGUAUUUCCAGAGAAGAUUGACCUGAGGGUCAGAGAAGCAAGAGAUUAAUGUUUUCUUUGACUGUGGAUGACACCAUCUAAUAGACUGAGAGGGCUGGAUAAAACAAAAAGUGGAAGGAGGAAGAAUCUUUCUCUUUUCUCAUCACUGAUGAAAUGUCUUCAAAAAGCAACUUACAGGAGGAAGGGUUUCCUUUGGCUCAGGGUUUGAAAGGGUACAGUCCAUCGUGGCAAUGGAAAUCCUGGUGGCAGAACCAGCUCCCAUCAGGAGUUGAGGUAAAACAACCUGAGGGUGCUUGCUCACAUCUCAGCUGAAAUAGUCAGUUGGAAGCGGGGCCCAGCUAUAUGCUGAAGGCCCCUCCCCAGGCCAUCCUUUCUCCAGUUGCUAAAGGUUCCACAAGCUCAUAUAAACAGCACCAACAGUCAAACCACAGCAUAUGCAUGCCCACCGCAUUAGCUACCCUUCUCAUUGUUGUGGCAAAUGACUGGCAAAGGCCGCUUAAGGAAGGAAGGGUUUAUUUUGGCUUGCAGUUCGAGGGAACACAAUCCAGCAUGGAGGAGAAAGUCAGUAUGGCAGCAGAAUCCUGAAGUAGCUAAUCACAUUAAAGUAGAGAGAUGAAGUCUUGCUUCAUCUUCUUGCAUGGGCCUAGGACAAUUUGGAUGGGUCAUCCAAUUCAAUCCCCCAUAGACAUUCCUAGGGGUUGGUUUUCAUAGCAAUUCUAAUCCUGUCAAAUUAACAAGACUAACAGUCACGCCCCGAAGUUCUCUACUUUUGAGGAGGUGCCUGUUUGCUCUUGCCGCUGCCCAUGAUGACUCAGGCGGUGCCUGGAGAGGCUUGGAGGGAGGAAAGAGAACAUGAUGUAAUUAUAUUUUAAUUUUUACAAAUUAAAGCUAAUUUAUAAACGCCCUCAUAAUUUCAUACAUAUCAUAUUGAUUCUGUUCCUCUGGAGAACCCCAACUAGUGCACUUAGUGAAAACUAAGGAAGCCUGUAGUAGCUCUGUGGUUUUAAUAUUUAUUGUAUGCUGAAAUGAUACUUUGGCAGAGUGGAUUAGUGUAUUAUUGAUUUCAUCUAUUUCCUUUUACCAUUAAUAAAGUAUGUACUCCUAAAUGUUAUAAUUUUUUCUUUCUUUUCUCUUUUUGAGACAGGAUCUCAUGCAUCCCCGGAUAGCCCCAAACUCGUAGCAAAGGAUGGCCUUGACUUUCUGAUCCUCCUGCCUCCACUCCCCAAGUUCUGGAAUUACAGGUGUGCUCUGCCAUCUCCCGUUUAUGGGGUGCACAGAUUGAACCUCGGCUUUGGGCAUGCCACACAGCACUUUGCCACCUAAGCUCCAGCUCCAGCAUAAAAAUCGAUUUUUACAGCAUUUAUAAAAAGAGCCAGGUCAUAGCCAAACAGGUUCCCAGUCUGAAGAGAAGCAUUCCUUACUGCUGACCUCCCCUGGGGAAACCCUCCAGACCUCCUCAGCUCCUCUGGACCAAGUUCCUUCAGGCUUCAUUCAAGUGUUGCCUUGCCUCUCCUUGGAGCCUGGUGGUCACCCGGAAAAUACAUACUGCUUCCCCUUGGGUCUGUAGGCCUUGGCACAAGAAGCCACAAUGACAGGAUGCUGGCAACAUCUGACCAACUGCACACUUGACACCAGAGACUCCUUAGUAAACAAGCUGAUUUAUUUAUUUAGGUUUUUGUGUCUUGUGUUGUUUGCUUGUUUGUUUCAAAACAGGGUUUCUCAGUGUACCACUCGCUGUCCUGGAACGUACUUUGUAGGUCAGACUGGCCUCUUAACUCAGAGAUCUGCCUGCCUCUGCCUCCUAAAUGCUGGGAGGAUUAAAGGGGUGUGCCGUCACACCCGGAUUGAUAAGUUAUGUGUUUACUACCAGCUUCUAACUGCGGAAAUUCUCACUGGGUAGCUGAGAACUCAGACGAAGUUGGUAAAAUCCAGCUCUACCAUUAGACCAGAGUAGAUGAUCAUACCCAGGGCUUCCUCCUGAGCCAUAGUUCAGCGUCCUGACCUAAAGAAAGCAGCUCGGAAGGCUGGUGGGUCAUUAACACAGCUCCCUAGCUUGGGGUGGGUCAAGCACUCAGCUCAGCAUGCGUCUCCACCCGCAGCUUCUUCCUGGUUAGUUUCUGCCAGGAGGGAUCAGUGCUAGAGAAAGGCUAGAAGGCAGCAGGAAGAACCUCCCUUUCUCUGGGCUGGCUGCUCCUGGUCAUUCUACCAGUAGGCUGGUCUCUGAAGUGUCCCCAGAAGGAGCUGCAUGUCACCAACUGGGGUGUCUACAAUAGGCAGGCAGCAUCUAUGCUUAGAAAUCUGCGCUCUGCCAGGCUCCCCCUUCCAUGGAACUAGUCAGGAAGAGGGACUUAGCUAGGUGGGUAAGGACUUUUUACCUCUGUUGUAGCACAUAAUAAUUCCGACUACAGCCUUGCUCCCAGCCACUAAAAGUUAAGUGUCCCCCACCACCCUUGAUUCAAUAACUAAUUUCCCACAUUGAACAUGUUCCGUUUGCAUGCAUGUGAGGCCGCUGUUUUCCUAUGGGUAAGCACUAUUAUAAGGGCUUCCUCUCUGUGGAUUCUGGAACCUUCCUUCCCCUUAAGUGGGGGAAAGCACCCAUGAUCUAAGCCUAAAGCACAGAGUGUAGCAAAGGGACUUCAUAUAUGCAGUUGAGGUCUCUAAACAGUUGGGUUUGCAUUCACAAGCCGGAAGAUGACCUGGGAUGGGCCUGAUGGAUCAGAUGAAAAAAUACCCUGUAAAAGAAGAAUCAGGCCCUCCCUGAGGUCAGAGAGACCCUCAACCAUAAAGAACCAGGGAUAAGUGUCUAGAACCUGAGACCUACCUCCAGCUGGCACCAAGCGACACACUAAGAUCAUGCACUCUCAAGAAAACAGAUUUGGUCAACAAGCUUCCUGAGGUGGGCAGAGGAUCCCCUGCAGUGGAACUUCUAGAUGCAAGGAAACAAAUCCCAGUAAUAAUUCUGACAGAAGCCUUGGGAGUCCUGCAUGGAGUACUAAUAAGCCAAGCCAAGGCACUGACAGGAACUGUGGGCCAGUAUGCACUUCCUUUUAAGCUGCUGGACAUGUGGCAAGUUUCUUACACAGCAACAGAAAAUGAAUGCAACCCCUAAAAGGUCUAAUUUGCCCACGAGGCAACUUAACCGUAAUGUUUAAACUAUCCAGGAAACCCCCGGGGAAGCUGACACUGAUGCCCAGCACAGACAGGCUUUUCCUUCUAGAUUAGAGCACACCCGCACCAGCGGAAGCAGGCAGCUUCUCUCAGGGACCACACGGUUCAAAAUUACAUGCAUUUUGAAACAUUAGACUCGCAUUCAUCGUAUCAAGCUAUCACACAAGAAAACUGGUAUUUAUGAAGAAGGAAGCUGGUGUCUCCCUCGCGCCACAGUCCACAGCUCUCACUCAGCGGAAGAGCAAGGAAUAGCCUAUGUAGUUACAGCGUGCUUCUGCGAAAAUAUACAACGGCCUUUACUGAAGUCGGACACUUCAUUAUUCGAGCUCUUGAGUUUGCAUUUUUCUUUUAAAUUAACGAGACAAUUGUGCGAAGCAUUGGAGAAGCUUCUCUUUGUUUUUACUUUAAGAGGCUUAGUUUGUCAAAGAGUGUAGGAACCUGCCCAUCGCCCAUUGAUUUAAAGAAAAGAAAAGCAAGCUCUCGGAAGGAAGCUGUUCAGAUCUGAGUACUUUCUUCCACCCCUUCUGUAAAAGAUGGCAACUGAGGCACUGGAGACCAUCCCGACACUUUCAGCUCACACACGGGAAAAUAACAAUGCCAACGGCCAAAGCAGAAUGCUCGCCACAUGUCAGAAGCACCAGCCCUAUCUCUAGAUGGUAUCCAGACUGAAGAAAGACCUUGUGAUGAUUAUUACCUCCGAUCCUCAAGACUUUCUCAUCCUUAAAAGAUGUGAUGUUGCCCGAUGAUUCAAACUCCUGCUGUCUUACUCCCCAACCAAGAUGGACUGUACUGUGGACUGUGAGGUAAAAUAAACCCUUCCUUCCUUCCUUAAGGUACUUCUGUCAGUAACAGAAUAGCAGCAAUGCCGUCCAGCACAUCUCAUAACUCACAAUGCAUUCGGGCCAUGUCUUAACCUCCUGUUGAAAAGUCUUUUUUAAAAUAACACUAAUCUCCAGAACAAACAUACCUUGUCCUUGUCCUUGUCCGUGGUUUUCAGCUUGCUCUGUUUCAGGCCAGACUACAUACUUUCUCAGUUCUGCUUUGCAUUUUGUUCCUGAUCCUCACCAUAAACUUGGCUAAAAACAGUCUGCACUAAUCCAUGCUUCAUUCUGGGUACUGCACCGUCUUGAGCUAUCCUCUUUCAAAUUAAUUCGUUUAGCACAUUUAAACUCAGCUUCUGAUGAUGUUAGCAACUUGAAAGUGUUCAAUCAAAGCUGGGCAGUUGUGGCAAAUGACUUUAAUCCCAGUACUCAGGAGGCAGACACAGGCAGACCUCUGUGAGUUUGAAGCCAGCCUGGUCGACAGAGCAAGUUCUAGGACAGUUGGGAAUACACAGAGGGAAAAAAUUUUAAAAAAAUAUGUAUAUAUAUAUAUAUGUAUAUAUAUAAACACAUACAUAUAUGUAUAUAUACAUAUAGGAGAAAAGAAAGUGUUCAAAAUAGUCAUUAGCAUUUAUUGAGCAUUUACUAUGUUUCAGACACUGUGCCUUUAAGCACUUGCACAAAUAGUUUCUCAAUAACUUGGCCUCAGCUACCUGAACCAUUUUUACUGCAUUAUUAAAGAAAAAGACUGAAAACAUAGGAAUAUAACUCAAGAAGUUAAAAAGAAGGUCUGGGAAGAGGAGUCUGUCAGUAAGUGCUUGCUGUACAAACAUGAAGGCCUGAGUUCAGACCCACAGCACCCAGGUAAAAAACCAGGUGUGACAGCACACACCUAUAAUCCCAGAGCCAGGAAGCCUGAGAUGGGAGGACCCCUAGCACUUGCUGACCAGCCAGUCUAAACAAAUUCAUGAGUGCCCAGAUUAGUGAGAGACCCUGCCUUAAAAACUAGGGUAGAAGACUGGGAGAUGGCUCAGUGAGUCCAUUGCUUGCAGAAUAAGCGUGUGGACCUGAGUUUGGAGUCCCAGCACUUGGUGUUGGGUAUCAGAUGUGGAUACCCUAUUCUGUAAACCCCAGCACUAGGGCGCUGAGAUAGCCAGACAUUCUGAUACCAACGAAUGUCCUCAACAUACACCCUCAUGGGGGAAUGAACAGAUACACUACAUACAUGCUUAUAUCACACAUGUUCCCAAAGAUACAUGAUAAAUGAUAGAUAGUAGAUAGAUAGAUAGAUAGAUAGAUAGAUAGAUAGAUAGAUAGAUAGAUAGAUAGAUGGAUGGAUCUGGAUAAAUGAACCUCAAUUGGGAAAAUGACUAUCACAAGGCCUAUCGGCAAGUAUGUAGGAGUAUUGCCUCAAUAAAUGGUCAAUGUGGGUGGACCCAGCCCAAAGUGGGUGGUGCCUCCCCUAGGCAUGUGGUCUGGGUGCUAUCAAGAAAGCAGGUUUAAAAAGUAGUUUCUAAGGAAAAAUACCGAAGCUGAUCUCUAGCCUCUAAUUGCACAGACACAUCCACACUUGCACAUAUUUGAAUAUACACACAUUAAUUUUACAUAUGACAGCACAUUUUAAACUUUAACGGUACUAACCUGAGUGCACACUUAUAAUUCCAACACAUCAGAGGUUGAAGCAGAAACACCGUGAGUUCCAGGCCCCUCAGGAAUAGAGCAGGAGACCCUAUGCCGGGAAAACAAGGAAGAAAGGGCAGGGGGUGGAGGAAAGAAGAGGGUAAGGGACAUGGAGGAGGGACAAGAAAUUAGGGAGAAAGAGGGGAGAGAAGGGAAGGGGAGAAGUGAGAGGGAAGAGGAAGGGAAAAGGUUGUGG